AUGGCAAGUCCCGCAUCCGCGUCUGACACCGUCCCGCCUCGGCCGACGGCCACCUCUUCGCCGAGUGGAGCGUCACCGUCAGUGUCGUCUCCGACUGCCAUCGUCGUCACCGACUCCAUCAAGAACACCGUGUAUGUGAAGGCAAGGAGUGUUUCCUGGGAAGGCAUUUCACCUCACUAUACCCGCAGAAAUAACUCAUAUGAAGAACUGAGGCUUUGGUGUGGUCAUUGGCCUCCUGAACUGCCAAGCUGUAAAUCUUCAGAGGUUGUUCAUGCCAUAUGA
rnacentral:rRNA from 1 species